CAGGUACAGAGGGAUGCUACCGGGCGACCGGAUGCGGAUCUCGAAAGCCUGUCCCAGUUCGGACUGGAGUCUGCAACCCGACUCCACGAAGUUGGAUUCGCUAGUAAUCGCGCAUCAGCCAUGGCGCGGCGAAUACGUUCCCGGGCCUUGUACACACCGCCCGUCAAGCCAUGGGANCCGGGGGUGCUUGAAGUGCGUCGCCGCAAGGCGCGCCCUAGAGCAAAACCGGUGACUGGGGCUAAGUCGUAACAAGGUACC
rnacentral:rRNA from 1 species